AGGAUGUGUCCAGCACUAGUCUGGUUUUGCUACAGUAGAUGUCUGAUGAAUUAUCGCCUCAAUUUUUACUUUUAAAAACACCUGGCAUGCGGAGUUGGCUCAGUGGUAGAGGGCUUGCCUAGCAAGUGCAAAGCCCUGAAUUUGGUCCUCAGCUCUGAAAAAAAAAAAAAAGACAAAAUAACAAAACAUCUGGCAUGCUCACACACACACAGUAAGGCCAAGAGCAUAGUGGUGUCUGGAGUUGGUUGUUGAGACAGCCUCAGGGUUCCCUGUGGCUCAACUAUUCAGUAAACAGAUGAACCCUAAGCAUAUUUAAUCACUAUAAUUUUUUACCCUAAAUUACUGGGAAAUCUUCAUGCAAGGUCUCAUAUUAGUUAGAUGUUUAAUGCUGUUGGCUGAGAUACCUUGUACAUAGUAAGACUUGUUUCCUGACUGCUAAUCCUCUUUGCAAAUAUCCAUCACAUGGUAGGCCUUCAACAGCACGUCUCUAGCUUUAUUCUAUGAAGCCUUUGUCAAGUAGCUUGCACAUAGUAUGUACCUGUAUGUAUGGCUUCUCUCGUUCUCCCUGCUUGGCAUGGUAACCAGAACGUAGUAGGUACGAAGGUGGUAGGUGAUUUUGCUCCCAUUCUUUGGAGCCCUUGGGGGUGCUUGGCACAUAGUAACUACUCAGUUUCUGGAGCUUAAUUUUCAGUCCUUGUCAUGGUGCCUGGCACAUAGCACAUGCACAGUUAAGUGCAUCUCUUUGUAUAUUAACGUAUGUAGUUCCUGGCGUGUGCCUGGCCCAUAGUAGGUAUGCAAGACACAGGCUUCUCUCCUGCCAUUUUCUGAAGGUCAUGACAAGUGUUCUAGCAAUGAGCAGGUGCUUUAGCAUGGUUGCCUUGUGGUGCUGGGCACAUAGAUGCAGUGUGGGUCCUGCCAGACACAAAGGAGGUACUCAGUAGUUGCUUUCUGUAUUCCAUGAAGCCUGUAUCACAUUCUUAACACACAGUAGGUAUCUGAUGACAUACUCAGGCACAUAGUGGAGCCCAGUGGUGAGAGUGUUCACCACCACCACCACUUGUUCCAGUGCCUGAGUCACAGCAACUGCCCUAUGCUGUAGACUAUGCACAUGGCAGUCACUAUCCCACAGCAAGCUCAGCAGUUCUUGGCCAGCCCUCCCGGACCCGCCCACCCGCCCAUCUCACCUUUGAUUGACACCCACUUCUUUUGGGUUCGACUUCUCUUUGGUUCGUUCUGUUUUGUUAUCAUCUUUUUAUU
rnacentral:lncRNA from 1 species